rnacentral:tRNA from 1 species
ACUUGAAUAGCUUAUAUUUUAGAGCGUGACACUGAAGAUGUCAAUGAGGUUUAUCUAAGCCUUUAAGUA